UAUGCCUACCUUACGUCAAACAUGACAUUAAGUCCAUGACACAGACUAUUUCAUUUAAUCUUCAUUUAAGCCUAAGAGGAAUGAGCCCCUUUACAGAGAGAGACUGAGGCUAAGAGAAAAUGAGUAAUCUCAUUCAAAGCCCCAUGGAGACAAAUUCUAAUUUCUAGAAUUAGAAAUUAAACCCAGACCCAUACCCCUGGGUCUUACUACCUUCUGAGUGGAGUAGAAGGAAAUCUGUUUAAAACACAGAUGCAAAAGCCAGAUGGUGAAGGAACUUGGAUGCCAGAAGGAGUUUCAGAUUUCCUUGGACAGUAAUGGUUAGGAGUGGAGAAGGGUCUGAAAAGGGUUAAACAAAGCAUUAAUAAGCUCUCUCAUUUAACCUUUGUCUUACAGCCCUGUAACUACGCAAACAACACAAAUUAUUCUCCCUCAUCCCAGAUAACCAUCUCCUGUACCUUCCUUAAUUCUACAGAUCACUCAAGAUAAAGGAGUCAUUAGCUUGAGGCUGAUGUGGCAGCUGCCCAAUUCCCUGCGCCUGGCAAAAGUUUCAUGUGGAAAAUCUACAUCUGCAUGACGCAGGCAAACCCAGAAACAACUACACAAGACCAAGGGAAUCUUGCAGCUGUCCAGUUGGAAACAAAUUGUAUGUAAAGACUACCUCAACUAAAAGCCACAGAACAGAUUUUCCUCACUAUUUGACUAUAGGAGGAAAACAGACCUUUAUGGAGCUAAAGAAUCUUGAGAGAGAUGGGAAAUUGACUCUAAGCACCAUCCAUAAAUACCCUAGAGUCUGCUACUGAAUCCAUGGAUUGGAUUAAGCUACAAUCAAGAACAAGUAUAGUAGCGAUAGGAGUCUGUGUGUAAGUAAAUCAAUAAAUAGACAAAACAUCUGUGGUUUGUAUA
rnacentral:lncRNA from 1 species